rnacentral:tRNA from 2 species
UCCCUGAUGGCUCAGAGGUUAAAGCGUCUGCCUGGAAUGCAGGAGACCCAGGUUCAAUCCCUGGGUCAGAGAA